rnacentral:rRNA from 1 species
UACGGAGGGUGCAAGCGUUAUCCGGAUUCACUGGGUUUAAAGGGUGUGUAGGCGGGCUGUUAAGUCAGUGGUGAAAUCUCCGGGCUCAACCCGGAAACUGCCAUUGAUACUAUCAGUCUUGAAUUCUGUUGAGGUGGGUGGAAUAUGUCAUGUAGCGGUGAAAUGCAUAGAUAUGACAUAGAACACCAAUUGCGAAGGCAGCUUACUACACAACGAUUGACGCUGAGGCACGAAAGCGUGGGGAUCAAACAGG